AGGAAUGAUUAUUCUCAUUAACGGGUCUGUCGAAACAAUGCUUUGCACAUUUAUGUGCACUGCUGCUAAACAGUUCUUGAUCUCAGGACCCUUAAUGACAUACGCUGUCAUCCACAACGUUGCUGGCUGUGCCUGACCCUGCCCUGGCACCCCUGUGGCUCUGGAUGACCUCCUUGUGCUUGAAGUUCAAAGCCUGUUUCAUUUCACAUCAGAUUUUCAGAAUUCUGGCAUAUUGAAGGAAAAACCAGUAUGGAAACACCUGUUUCCUCCAGAGAUGCUAUGUCUGCCCGUAUCCCUUCAGGGAUGUUGUAUCUUCACUGCUGGUACCCAAGAGGGGGAUGGUUGUGAGAAGUCUGAGUUUGCAGGAUGGAAUUAAAAAUUCCCUUUGAUCAGUGUAGCUCCUUGAAAAUUACUAUAGAGAAACAUUAUUUCCAAAAUAGUGUUAUUGCAGCAGCAGAACUCUGUUGUGUCUGGAUAUGAAGGAUGGCUGUUGGCAGCGCUGUUUAGAAGAUCACAUCAGUGUGUUGCUCUGGUUCCCAUUCAUUCAUAUCUAUUAGUACUAGGGUUAUAACAUAAAUAAAUCAUAGCACUCCACCAAGCUGCAAUAAACAUAUUACCCAAGCAGAAACUAGAACAGUGGGGUGGGCCAUUACUGAAGAUAAAUGACCAAGUUCUACUGUUAAGUGCUAAGGCUUCUGAAGCACAAGGGUGUUUUCCCAGUAAACAUUGAAAGGUAAAAUUAAAGUCUUUUCAAAGUCUAAUAAAAUUUAAUACUUUUGUAUUAUAAAGAAUAUUCUAAGGAACUCCUUUUAUUCUCACAAGUUUUCAGAAUUUAUGGCGGGACUAGUACUGAAACCACCUCUUUUGGCAUCUUUAUUUCCCAGGUUCCAGUAUCUGUUUGCAGGUACUGUGAAUUUAAUAUCAGUUUCAACUUUUAGCCAGUAGACUCCAAGCAGUCAUGGUUAAAGUGUUGCUGGCUACAAAAUAAAUGUAUAUUAUGUCUGGGGUAAGAAGGAAGAGUGGCAGCAUGUUUUUUAUUGAA